rnacentral:rRNA from 1 species
GUGGGGAAUAUUGGACAAUGGGCGCAAGCCUGAUCCAGCCAUGCCGCGUGAGUGAUGAAGGCCUUAGGGUUGUAAAGCUCUUUCAGUAGGGAAGAUAAUGACGGUACCUACAGAAGAAGCCCCGGCUAACUUCGUGCCAGCAGCCGCGGUAAUACGAAGGGGGCUAGCGUUGUUCGGAUUUACUGGGCGUAAAGCGCACGUAGGCGGAUUGGUCAGUUAGAGGUGAAAUCCUGGAGCUCAACUCCAGAACUGCCUUUAAUACUGCCAGUCUAGAGUCCAGAAGAGGUGAGUGGAACUCCUAGUGUAGAGGUGGAAUUCGUAGAUAUUAGGAAGAACACCAGUGGCGAAGGCGGCUCACUGGUCUGGUACUGACGCUGAGGUGCGAAAGCGUGGGGAGCAAACAGGAUUAGAAACCCUGGUAGUCC